rnacentral:rRNA from 1 species
AACGAACGCUGGCGGCAUGCCUAACACAUGCAAGUCGAACGAAGCUUUCGGGCGUAGUGGCGCACGGGUGCGUAACGCGUGGGAAUCUGCCCUUGGGUUCGGAAUAACUGUGAGAAAUUGCUGCUAAUACCGGAUGAUGUCUUCGGACCAAAGAUUUAUCGCCCAGGGAUGAGCCCGCGUAGGAUUCGCUAGUUGGUAGGGUAAUGGCCUACCACGGCGUGGAUCCUUAGCUGGUCUGAGAGGAUGAUCAGCCACACUGGGACUGAGACACGGCCCAGACUCCUACGGGAGGGAGCAGUGGGGAAUAUUGGACAGUGGGGGCAAGGCUGAUCCAGCAAUGCCGCGUGAGUGAUGAAGGCCUUAGGGUUGUAAAGCUCUUUUACCCGGGAUGAUAAUGACAGUACCGGGAGAAUAAGCUCCGGCUAACUCCGUG